rnacentral:rRNA from 1 species
AGUGAACGCUGGCGGUAGGCCUAACACAUGCAAGUCGAACGGCAGCACAGGAGAGCUUGCUCUCUGGGUGGCGAGUGGCGGACGGGUGAGGAAUACAUCGGAAUCUACUCUGUCGUGGGGGAUAACGUAGGGAAACUUACGCUAAUACCGCAUACGACCUACGGGUGAAAGCAGGGGAUCUUCGGACCUUGCGCGAUUGAAUGAGCCGAUGUCGGAUUAGCUAGUUGGCGGGGUAAAGGCCCACCAAGGCGACGAUCCGUAGCUGGUCUGAGAGGAUGAUCAGCCACACUGGAACUGAGACACGGUCCAGACUCCUACGGGAGGCAGCAGUGGGGAAUAUUGGACAAUGGGCGCAAGCCUGAUCCAGCCAUACCGCGUGGGUGAAGAAGGCCUUCGAGUUGUAAAGCCCUUUUGUUGGGAAAGAAAUCCAGCUGGCUAAUACCCGGUUGGGAUGACGGUACCCAAAGAAUAAGCACCGGCUGACUUCGUGCCAGCAGCCGCGGUAA